UCUUCAGGUGCAGUUGUACUAUGUGCACCGAUGUGAUUGGCUGAUGCAGGUAGGCGGUUCCACAACCAACCGUAUAAGAUCGACUCGUCUUCAUCUGAAUGAUGUGUGUUGGAGAGUAAAGACCAAAGACAAGAUGUUUUCUGUUCAAACUUUGAUCGUUGCCACUCUUCUGACACAGUCGGUCCUUGUUGUGGAGUCUGACGGUCCGGGCAAACUCCCUGAAGGCCAUACUGAAAAAGCUAUCGGUGAUCUGUUUAAAGCAAAGGUUGCUGAAGUGAUAAGAAAGGAUGUGCUGCCACUCCGGAUUGAAGGUGACGUUGGAGCCUCCCUAUCCGCAGUUGUUGAUCCAUAAGGGACUGGCUGGGCCCGCAGUGGAGUACGCAGAUAGUGCGACAGGAGACUGGUCGACCUCUGGUGUAGUGGUUUCACACCACCAGAGUGCAUCGAGUAUCACAUAAAAAAUGAAAAAACAUCCAUCAAUCGUGUUUGUUUCAUUUUUUGUAAAAUCCAAAAUACACGUUAAUAUACCAUAACCUAGGCUAAGAGUGACUUAAGAGUAACCUAGGUCUCGGACACAAGCACUCUGUGGCAGCCAAACUUUUUGUUGUUAAUUAUUGCAUUUGGGGGUACUACUCGAAUAGGGU